CGAGCCUUAGCCGCGCAGGCUCAGUGAAGGGAGGAUGGCGAAUCUGUUACCUUUUGCGGUUCUCACCAAGAGUGACAAAACCUUGCUAGUGUGGGAGCUGAGCUCUGGACCCACGGCCGACGCUUUGCAUAGACAAGGUCUCGCUGUGUUGCUCAUGCUGGUUUUGAACUCCUGGCCUCAAGCCAUCCUCCCAUCUUGGCCUCCCAGAGAGCAGGAUUACAGGCUGUUUCUCUUGGAGGUGGUGCAGGAGGUUGAGGAAAGCACCUCUGAUGAGCAGAUAGCUGGAGGCUGUUCCCACAGUCAUGUCUCAGCGAAGAAGUCGGAGUCCAGCAGCCAUCAGAACCAAGAGAGAGGGUGUUGCUCCGUCACACAGGCUGGAGUGCAGUGGUACAAUCACAGUUCACUACAGCCCCGACCUCCUGAACUCAAGUGAUCCUCCCACCUCAGCCUCCCGAGUAGCUGCGCCUGGCUAAUUAAAAAAGAUUUUUUUGAGAUGAGGUCUCACUGUGUUGCCCAGGCUGGUCUCCAACUCGUGGGCUCAAGCAAUCUUCUUACCUCAGCCUCUCAGAGCACUGGGAUUACAGGCGAGAGCCACCUCACCUGGCCUAACAAGGUAUUUAAACACAACUUUGAAUCUAUUUCGUUACUGCAAAUUGAAAAUAAUGAAUUGAUUCAUCAAAACUAAGCAAAGUAACUUAAAUAUCACUGGGCAAAUUAACUUGAUUUGAAUCAACUUGUUGCAAAUCUAGACCACUGAAGAUCAAUUAUAGCUCAGUCUGCACCUACCACUGGUAGACAAAAGGACACAGUGCCGCCCACUGCCAGUCCCUCCCAGAGUGACUGAAGGUGGCCACACUGUGCCCACGCAGCCUCUC